rnacentral:rRNA from 1 species
GGCUCAGGAUGAACGCUGGCGGCGUGCCUAAUACAUGCAAGUCGAACGCACAGCGAAAGGUGCUUGCACCUUUCAAGUGAGUGGCGAACGGGUGAGUAACACGUGGAUAACCUACCUCAAGGUUGGGGAUAACAUUUGGAAACAGAUGCUAAUACCGAAUAAAACUUAGUAUCGCAUGAUACCAGGUUAAAAGGCGCUACGGCGUCACCUAGAGAUGGAUCCGCGGUGCAUUAGUUAGUUGGUGGGGUAAAGGCUUACCAAGACAAUGAUGCAUAGCCGAGUUGAGAGACUGAUCGGCCACAUUGGGACUGAGACACGGCCCAAACUCCUACGGGAGGCUGCAGUAGGGAAUCUUCCACAAUGAGCGAAAGCCUGAUGGAGCAACGCCGCGUGUGUGAUGAAGGCUUUCGGGUCGUAAAGCACUGUUGUAUGGGAAGAACAGCUAGAGUAGGGAAUGACUUUAGUUUGACGGUACCAUACCAGAAAGGGACGGCUAAAUACGUG